rnacentral:rRNA from 1 species
GAUGAACGCUAGCGAUAGGCUUAACACAUGCAAGUCGAGGGGCAGCAUGGUCUUAGCUUGCUAAGGCUGAUGGCGACCGGCGCACGGGUGCGUAACGCGUAUGCAACUUGCCUCACAGAGGGGGAUAACCCGUCGAAAGACGGACUAAUACCGCGUACACUCUAUGUUGGGCAUCCAAUGUAGAGGAAAUGAAAUUCGCUGUGAGAUAGGCAUGCGUCCCAUUAGCUAGUUGGUGAGGUAACGGCUCACCAAGGCGACGAUGGGUAGGGGAACUGAGAGGUUGAACCCCCACACUGGUACUGAGACACGGACCAGACUCCUACGGGAGGCAGCAGUGAGGAAUAUUGGUCAAUGGGCGAGAGCCUGAACCAGCCAAGUCGCGUGAAGGAUGACUGUCUUAUGGAUUGUAAACUUCUUUUAUACGGGAAUAACAAGAGUCACGUGUGGCUCCCUGCAUGUACCGCAUGAAUAAGCAUCGGCUAACUCCGUG